rnacentral:rRNA from 1 species
GGUAGUCCACGCCGUAAACGAUGUCGACUUGGAGGUUGUGCCCUUGAGGCGUGGCUUCCGGAGCUAACGCGUUAAGUCGACCGCCUGGGGAGUACGGCCGCAAGGUUAAAACUCAAAUGAAUUGACGGGGGCCCGCACAAGCGGCGGAGCAUGUGGUUUAAUUCGAUGCAACGCGAAGAACCUUACCUACUCUUGACAUCCAGAGAACUUAGCAGAGAUGCUUUGGUGCCUUCGGGAACUCUGAGACAGGUGCUGCAUGGCUGUCGUCAGCUCGUGUUGUGAUAUGUUGGGUUAAGUCCCGCAACGAGCGCAACCCUUAUCCUUUGUUGCCAGCGGUUAGGCCGGGAACUCAAAGGAGACUGCCAGUGAUAAACUGGAGGAAGGUGGGGAUGACGUCAAGUCAUCAUGGCCCUUACGAGUAGGGCUACACACGUGCUACAAUGGCGCAUACAAAGAGAAGCGACCUCGCGAGAGCAAGCGGACCUCAUAAAGUGCGUCGUAGUCCGGAUUGGAGUCUGCAACUCGACUCCAUGAAGUCGGAAUCGCUAGUAAUCGUAGAUCAGAAUGCUACGGUGAAUACGUUCCCGGGCCUUGUACACACCGCCCGUCACACCAUGGGAGUGGGUUGCAAAAGAAGUAGGUAGCUUAACCUUCGGGAGGGCGCUUACCACUUUGUGAUUCAUGACUGGGGUGAAGUCGUAACAAGGUAACCGUAGGGGAACCUGC